rnacentral:lncRNA from 1 species
CUCUCACCAUGCACAAAAGUUAACUCAAAAUGGAUCAAGGAGCUUGAUAUCAAAUCAGAGACUCUGCGUCUGAUAGAAGAAAAAGUUGGCUCCGAUCUACAUAUUGUGGGGUCAGGCUCCAAAUUCCUUAAUAGGACACCCAUAGCACAAGAGUUAAUAGCAAGAAUCAACAAAUGGGACUUACUCAAACUAAAAAGUUUUUUUCUCAGCAAGAGAAACAAUAAGAGAGGUAAAUAGGGAGCCUACAUCAUGGGAACAAAUUUUUACUCCUCACACUUCAGAUAGAGCCCUAAUAUCCAGAGUAUACAAAGAACUCAAAAAAUUAAACAAUAAGAUAACAAAUAACCCAAUCAACAAAUGGGCCAAGGACCUGAACAGACACUUCUCAGAGGAGGACAUACAAUCAAUCAACAAGUACAUGAAAAAAU